rnacentral:rRNA from 1 species
AUUGAACGCUGGCGGCAGGCCUAACACAUGCAAGUCGAACGGUAACAGGAAGCAGCUUGCUGCUUUGCUGACGAGUGGCGGACGGGUGAGUAAUGUCUGGGAAACUGCCUGAUGGAGGGGGAUAACUACUGGAAACGGUGGCUAAUACCGCAUAACGUCGCAAGACCAAAGAGGGGGACCUUCGGGCCUCUUGCCAUCAGAUGUGCCCAGAUGGGAUUAGCUUGUUGGUGAGGUAACGGCUCACCAAGGCGACGAUCCCUAGCUGGUCUGAGAGGAUGACCAGCCACACUGGAACUGAGACACGGUCCAGACUCCUACGGGAGGCAGCAGUGGGGAAUAUUGCACAAUGGGCGCAAGCCUGAUGCAGCCAUGCCGCGUGUAUGAAGAAGGCCUUCGGGUUGUAAAGUACUUUCAGCGGGGAGGAAGGUGUUGUGGUUAAUAACCGCAGCAAUUGACGUUACCCGCAGAAGAAGCACCGGCUAACUCCGUGCCAGCAGCCGCGGUAAUACGGAGGGUGCAAGCGUUAAUCGGAAUUACUGGGCGUAAAGCGCACGCAGGCGGUCUGUCAAGUCGGAUGUGAAAUCCCCGGGCUCAACCUGGGAACUGCAUUCGAAACUGGCAGGCUUGAGUCUUGUAGAGGGGGGUAGAAUUCCAGGUGUAGCGGUGAAAUGCGUAGAGAUCUGGAGGAAUACCGGUGGCGAAGGCGGCCCCCUGGACAAAGACUGACGCUCAGGUGCGAAAGCGUGGGGAGCAAACAGGAUUAGAUACCCUGGUAGUCCACGCCGUAAACGAUGUCUACUUGGAGGUUGUGCCCUUGAGGCGUGGCUUCCGGAGCUAACGCGUUAAGUAGACCGCCUGGGGAGUACGGCCGCAAGGUUAAAACUCAAAUGAAUUGACGGGGGCCCGCACAAGCGGUGGAGCAUGUGGUUUAAUUCGAUGCAACGCGAAGAACCUUACCUGGUCUUGACAUCCACAGAAGUUUUCAGAGAUGAGAAUGUGCCUUCGGGAACCGUGAGACAGGUGCUGCAUGGCUGUCGUCAGCUCGUGUUGUGAAAUGUUGGGUUAAGUCCCGCAACGAGCGCAACCCUUAUCCUUUGUUGCCAGCGGUUAGGCCGGGAACUCAAAGGAGACUGCCAGUGAUAAACUGGAGGAAGGUGGGGAUGACGUCAAGUCAUCAUGGCCCUUACGACCAGGGCUACACACGUGCUACAAUGGCGCAUACAAAGAGAAGCGACCUCGCGAGAGCAAGCGGACCUCAUAAAGUGCGUCGUAGUCCGGAUUGGAGUCUGCAACUCGACUCCAUGAAGUCGGAAUCGCUAGUAAUCGUGGAUCAGAAUGCCACGGUGAAUACGUUCCCGGGCCUUGUACACACCGCCCGUCACACCAUGGGAGUGGGUUGCAAAAGAAGUAGGUAGCUUAACCUUCGGGAGGGCGCUUACCACUUUGUGAUUCAUGACUGGGGUGAA